GAAUGUGAGGGUAAUCUGGCUGCAACAGCUGUCACCCCUUGAUCGCCAGGAUUGAUUUGGCCAACCUUGCUGGCCAGGUAGGUAUCACCUUCCUCCCUCACCGCUCCUAGUGCAUCCCUCCCAAAGCUGCAUGCUCAGUCGAAGAGGACGAUCUUCCCCGAUACCAGAGAACCAUUACUCGGUGGAGGGUAUCCCGUAGCUGCACUCCCCUGCUAAAACCACCAAACAAGCUCCAAGGAAGACCCUGUCUCAAUUUUUUUUUUAAAGUUGGUAUGUGGUGCUGAGGAUCGAACCCGGG
rnacentral:snRNA from 1 species